rnacentral:rRNA from 1 species
UAAACCAUGCACCGAAGCUGCGGCAGCGACACUAUGUGUUGUUGGGUAGGGGAGCGUUCUGUAAGCCUGCGAAGGUGACCUGUGAGGGUUGCUGGAGGUAUCAGAAGUGCGAAUGCUGACAUAAGUAACGAUAAAGCGGGUGAAAAGCCCGCUCGCCGGAAGACCAAGGGUUCCUGUCCAACGUUAAUCGGGGCAGGGUGAGUCGACCCCUAAGGCGAGGCCGAAAGGCGUAGUCGAUGGGAAACAGGUUAAUAUUCCUGUACUUGGUGUUACUGCGAAGGGGGGACGGAGAAGGCUAUGUUAGCCGGGCGACGGUUGUCCCGGUUUAAGCAUGUAGGCUGGUUGUCCAGGCAAAUCCGGAUAAUCAAGGCUGAGGUGUGAUGACGAGGCACUACGGUGCUGAAGUAACAAAUGCCCUGCUUCCAGGAAAAGCCUCUAAGCAUCAGGUAACAUCAAAUCGUACCCCAAACCGACACAGGUGGUCAGGUAGAGAAUACCAAGGCGCUUGAGAGAACUCGGGUGAAGGAACUAGGCAAAAUGGUGCCGUAACUUCGGGAGAAGGCACGCUGGUGUGUAGGUGAAGCCCCUGCGGGUGGAGCUGAGACCAGUCGAAGAUACCAGCUGGCUGCAACUGUUUAUUAAAAACACAGCACUGUGCAAACACGAAAGU